rnacentral:rRNA from 1 species
AACGAACGCUGGCGGCAGGCUUAACACAUGCAAGUCGAACGCAUCGCAAGAUGAGUGGCAGACGGGUGAGUAACGCGUGGGAACAUACCCUUUUCUACGGAAUAGCUCUGGGAAACUGGAAUUAAUACCGUAUACGCCCUACGGGGGAAGGAUUUAUCGGGGAAGGAUUGGCCCGCGUUGGAUUAGCUAGUUGGUGGGGUAAAGGCCUACCAAGGCGACGAUCCAUAGCUGGUCUGGGAGGAUGAUCAGCCACAUUGGGACUGAGACACGGCCCAAACUCCUACGGGAGGCAGCAGUGGGGAAUAUUGGACAAUGGGCGCAAGCCUGAUCCAGCCAUGCCGCGUGAGUGAUGAAGGCCUUAGGGUUGUAAAGCUCUUUCACCGAUGAAGAUAAUGACGGUAGUCGGAGAAGAAGCCCCGGCUAACUUCGUGCCAGCAGCCGCCGUAA